UUGUAAGCUCUCAAAUAUAUUUUAUUUUUUCAAGAACAUUGCAAUCAACAUUUCACCUUCCCACAAAAAAUAGUGUACAGAACAGCAAACCAAAAAAAAAAAAAAAGAUGAUAUUAUAUGCCCCUGAAACAGAGCAACGAUUGCUUUAGUACAUAUAAAGUUUAAGCAUUAUGUACAAAUAGUUAAACUUUGGAAGAUUUGUUAGCAAAGUAUUUUCUAUUAUAUGCAAUUAAUUUGACUACCAGGUACAUAUACAUAUCAGGUAAUCUGCGGUAAUCUGUUCAAAUGUGGAUAUAGUUUUGCAAAACAAUAGUACAUUUAACUUUGUCUACCUUUUUCUUUAGAGGACUAAGUGUAUUCUUAAAACUAUUUUUUCGAUGUAUUUAUUUCAAUAAAUUGAUGAAAACAAAAAUUGUAUACAGUAUGAAAGAUGCAAGUUUGUGUCUGAUGUAAUAGGUUCACCUAACACAAAAAGGCCACAAUCAGGUUUGUGUGUAAGAUUCUCUUCAAAACCUUUUUUAUUUUUUCUAGGCUAUUAGAAAAGAUGGAUGAUCUGUAAGUAAAGUUAAAGACAAGAAUUUAUAACAAAUAUACAACCAGCGUGCAUUAAAAAAAAUGCUCAUAAUAAUUUGAUAAAUACAAGUGCUGUUCACACAAAAGAAAAAUCCAAAAUCUAUACGUAAUAUACUUUGGUAUUACAUGUAUUGUUAAAAAAUAAAUAUUUGUUCCCCUUUAGUCAAAAUAGGUGGACUAAAUGUAUACAUGAUCUAAGUUGAGACAAACUAGAUAUUUUUCACUACAAUUUUCACUGGAAUCAGAGUGUCAUCAUUUUCAAGAGAUCACAAAAUCAUCAAUACUUUAUUAAAAAUGCUCAAACUCACACAAGAAGUCAAUUUGAUCUCCCAAAAAGUGACCAACUUGAACAAUUAAUAAUUCUUGUAACAAAACAAAAUAUGAAAACAAAAAUGAACAAUUCUAAAACAAAAUAUUUCAAAUUAAAUCAUGAAUAACAGUGAAAUAAAAGUUAUCUUUUCUUCACCUUUUAAUAUGUUGAAUGCUUUUCAAUAGAUUACACAAGAAUACAAAAUAUAUAAAUAUGAACACUGAGCAUAAAAUAUAUCAAUAUAAAUAUUUUUUUAAGCAGUUAACUUCAUGGUAAUUUCAAUGCUUUUUGACCAUCAUGGGAAAAUGUAUCAAAUGUUUGUAGAGAAAGUAUUUCCUGCCUCAAACUUUUAAUACACACAGAGGCAAGCAAUUUGAAAUAUGGUUCCACCAAAUUAUCACAAUGGUAACUCAUUCUGGAAAGACAGAAUUUGAUACAUGGAAAAAGAACAAAAGAAACAAAAAAUAUAUUUAAAGCUACAAGCAUAAGCCCAGUAAUUUUAAUAUACUAGAAUGCAGUAAUUGAUGGACAUGUGAAGAACACAUCUAUACAGAUAGGCUUUGAAUGUAUAAUUAUGAUAUUUACACAAAAAUAUUAACUGCUUAAAUUUGAUAAUGACCAUAUCCAAAUUGUACAGAAGACAAAAAAAAAAGAUUAAAAUGUUGAACUAACAAUAACAAGUACUACAAAACAAGUGAAGUUUUUACAUUAGGUCAUAGCAUUUGUC